AUCACAGGGGCAGGAGACACAGGAAAAGCAAAGACACCAGAAACAAGACACGGGAAAGGAAGUGAGCAACACAAGGAAAGGGACUUCAAAAUAAAACAGGAAACUCAAGAAAACACAAACACGGAAAAGAGAGAUAACUUGACCAAGAAAGGCUAAGCACGUAAAGCUGCACAAGAAAUGGAAAAAUAAAUAAAAGUCCACUAGAACUAAUAUUCCUGAGGGCAGAGUCAUUAUGAAAAUAUCUGACUUCUUGGCUGUGUAAUGUUCAACAAUGUUCGGCAACUAGUCACUAAUGUUGUGUAUGUGUACAGUGACAGGCAGAAACAGCACUGAUGAGAUCACUGAGAGACAAUAACCACAAAAGUUUCUGAUUGGAAAACAAAUGAGCUGAAAGUUUCUACAAAGGUUGUGGGAACCCACGUAGUUGGGUGUUAAUUAUCAGUGGCAAUAUAUAUGUAAUAUAUAUAAAUACAUAAAUAUAUCCUUUGCUUUAAGUGGCAGCUGGUGCAGAAAUAUGAAACUAUUUCCAUUGUCAAUUACACAGCAAAUUAUUUUCUAUUCAUCAUUUUGUCUAUAAAAUACCAGAAGGUAGUUUAAAAUUCUGAUUAUAAUUUCCCAAAGGCCAAAGUGGCAUUUUAGAAUAACUUGUUUUGUCCAACCAAGAGUCGAAAGCACAACAAUAAUCAGUUGACUGUCAUUAAAACAAAGAAUAGCAGCAAAUUGUCUCAUUCUAACAGCUGGAGCGACUGUUUCCCAUGAGAUUUGUGUUCUUCAAAUUUGCAUAUCAAUUAAAAUAUCAGAUUGUAUGGCACAAUUUCAAAAUAGAAUCUAACACUUAAAUGCAAUCCCUAGUUUAGGUUUUGGCAAAUCAAUCCACCAGUCCUCAGACUGGUGCAAGUCUGAUACAAGACAGAAAAAACAAGACAGCUGACAAGUGCAGUAAACUUGAGUUAUUAAUUUUUUUCUGUAAACACUCUUUGCUCUGUUAGAUGCUAAGGAUUGCUGUUGUUUGCAAUUUCUCUGGUCGUAUAUUGUAAAGCUUUAAAUAUUGUCUUUGAAUUUCUUACGUAGAGAGUCAGGAGUUGUGUAAACCUAAAUUAUCUCCAGACAAGUAUGCAUAAAUCAAAGGUUAAUUGAGCUAGGACUGUGCAAUGUGUUUGUGUUGCUGCUGUAAGCGUUGGUAUCACUAUGCGUUUAUCUCUAUGCUUAUGCAUAAUUGCUGUGUAUGUAUUUGGUGCAAGACUAGAUAGACUGAUGGUGAGCAUGCUAUAAUUAGCCACAAGUUCUCUUGACAGUCAGUAAAGGAGUGUUUCUCCAAAUGUAUGCAGAUGGAGACGUGUGCUAUAUGUGUUUGUCUGAUAAAGACCAACUGAAAUAUCACUGAAAUAUGAUCGUAUGAAACCACAUAGCGAACUAAGCGUACAUCAAACCCACUGUGACGAAGCAAUUAAGAAAAACAAUGAUAAGCGAUCAUGAAAAUCCACUUGGUUUUGUCUGGAGCCUUUGAUGUUGCCAAACUUCAGCCUCAGUGUAAAAUCAGGCUACGGCACCACAAAUGAGCCUUGAUAUUCUCUCAAAGUACAUGCAGAUCCACAGACACACACACACACACACACGUAUACACACUCAAACAGAGAGCAAACACACCAGUGUGUGUCAGUCUCCUGGAAUGGUAGUCAUCUGCAUCAAUGUGAGGCAAAGCGAAGAGAGUCAGAGGGAAUGAGAGUUUGUGCAUCAAAGCCAGCUUGGUUGAUAGUGAUCAUAGCUCAUGGCAGCAUGGAAAUGUGUAACGUGACACAUCACUCGCAGCAGAGUUUCAUGACAUUGUUCUCUGUGUGUGUGUGUGUGUGUGUGUGUGUGUGUGUGUGUGUGUGUGUGUGAGGUUUCAAGGUUAGGUUAAGGUUAGGCAAGUGGGAGAUAUGGUUGGGUUAGAGUUAGUCUCGAGGAAAUGAAUUGUCCACAUUGAAAUCCGAUCAAGAUCUGAUCGCUCUGUCCAGCCCACGUCACCAUUAACAAACAACAAAGAAAAUAUAGAAGAUCAGAAGAAGAUGGUAUCCAUCCACGCAGCUGCAUAAUAGUGACUUUAUGUCAGAUUUUUCAUCCAUACAUCCAGCGGCGAAGACCACCAGGCAUCAAUGGAUUCUGGAGCUUCCUGGAGCCACCAAAGGUAUACAGUUUUGCCAAACAUGUGCAAGAAAUGGAAAACUGGGCUUUGAAUUUUGUAUCCAACUGCCAUGGGACUGCACAAAGAGAUAGUGAGAGAUAGUAAACAGAGUUUCUUUUGAAAAGAACAUGUUCUAUUUCUACUCAAUUCCUCUAAAUGAUCACUAGUUUACUUUAUGAAAACUGUUACCACUCAAUACCACUUUUGUUCUCCAAAAAUGACAACGACACAUACAUAGAAUCAUAUUUAUUAAUCUCUGAGAUGUGUAAAUGUUUACCUGUGACCCAGAGUACAUUCAAAUUCACAUUUGAUCAUUUCACUUUAAAUGAAACUAACACAACUGGAAAUAAACAAAUGUCUCUUUUCAA